GAGCGCGCCGGGGAGGGCAGCUGCGGGAGUGGGGGCGGCAGGAGCCGCGGAGCCGGCGCCGAGGGCGGCAGCGGCCGGAGCGGGCGGCCGAGACAAAGGCGACGCUCAGAACUGCUUCAGACCUAGAAGCCUGCUUUGGAGGAAGAGUCCUAGUAGGCAUCUCUUUUUACUUGACCAGCUUCUCUUCAGUGUGCUGUCCUCACCUGUCCAGGGUCCAGCCCAGUGGGGAAGAGGACUCGGGGGAAAGUUGUAGGUCCUUCUAGUUGUGGCAUGUGGGAUGCCGCCUCAGCAUGGCCUGAUGAGUGGUGCCAUGUGCAUGCCCAAGAUUGGAACUGGCGAAACCCUGGGCCACCAGAGCGGAGCCCUCGAACCUAACCACUCUGCCACGGGGCUGGCCCCUAAUGCGUAAUUUAAGUGUCUCCUUUUUUUUUAGUUCAAUUAUGCUACCUUAGUUUAUUAUUUUGUCAACAUAGGAGAAUCUGUGGUAAUCUUUAAAAAGAAUGUAUGAGCUAGUAAAUGUAGCUUUUCCCCUUAAAAUCUAGACUGAAAAGAUGUAUGCUUUUUUUGAUAUUGCGCUUUCUAAAAAAAUUUUAUUUCCUUAUAAAA
rnacentral:lncRNA from 1 species